CACGCCUGCAACUAUAAGUAUACCAAUGAGAUUGUAAAUCAGGGCAAAAACAAAAUUUAUUCUUAUUCUUUUCACAGUCUUGCGCGAUAAGUCAAUGCUGGCGACAACAUCCAGGAGAUCAUUCCGUAUAAGCACCACGUCUGCAGCUUCAAUGGCUACAUCUGUCCCGGUCCCUAUGGCAAUCCCCACAUUGGCCAUGGCCAGAGCAGGAGAGUCAUUUAUUCCAUCGC